CCUCUGUCUCCUGGGUUCAAGCGAUUUUCCUGCCUCAGCCUCCUGAGUAGCUGGGAUUGCAGGUGCCCACCACCAUGCCCAGCUAAUUUUCGUGAGCCACCACGCCCGGCCACAUAAUGUUUUUAAUAUUUGAGUUUAGAACCAUGUAUUUUACAUAAUUCUAAACUUACGUUUAAAAAAUGAUCCCUAUAACUUGAGCAAAAUGAGAAAAUGAAUCUACCUGUGUAAGAGUUGGUAGCAUAACCAUACAAAGAACUUGUAAAGAGACUUUAUAACACAGUAAUAUGACCAAACAUACCUGGUGUGAUAUGCCCUAAAGAUUAAAAAAGAACAAAACUGCAAACAAAAACUCUUAAUCUGUUUCCAGUAAUGAUAUUGUUGAUCAGAUUGCCAUCAUGUAUUGGGAUAAAGCUAAUGAAUAAU
rnacentral:lncRNA from 1 species